rnacentral:rRNA from 1 species
UGGGGAAUUUUGCACAAUGGGGGAAACCCUGAUGCAGCGACGCCGCGUGAUUUAGAAGGCCUUCGGGUUGUAAAAAUCUUUUCUAUGGGAAGAAAAUGACAGUACCAUAGGAAUAAGGACCGGCUAAUUACGUGCCAGCAGCCGCGGUAAUACGUAAGGUCCGAGCGUUGUCCGGAAUCAUUGGGCGUAAAGGGUACGUAGGCGGGUAAGCAAGUUAGAAGUGAAAUCCUAUAGCUCAACUAUAGUAAGCUUUUAAAACUGCUCAUCUUUAGGUAUGGAAGGGAAAGUGGAAUUCCUAGGGUAGCGGUGAAAUGCGCAGAUAUUAGGAGGAAUACCGGUGGCGAAGGCGACUUUCUGGCCAUAACCUGACGCUGAGGUACGAAAGCGUGGGUAGCAAACAGG